rnacentral:rRNA from 1 species
UACGUAGGGGGCAAGCGUUGUCCGGAAUCAUUGGGCGUAAAGAGCGCGUAGGCGGCCCUGUAAGUCCGCUGUGAAAGUCAAGGGCUCAACCCUUGAAUGCCGGUGGAUACUGCAGGGCUAGAGUCCGGAAGAGGCGAGUGGAAUUCCUGGUGUAGCGGUGAAAUGCGUAGAUAUUGGGAGGAACACCAGUGGCGAAGGCGACUCGCUGGACCGGUUCUGACGCUGAGGCGCGAAAGCGUGGGGAGCAAACAGG